CGAGGUAACAGUAGUCGCCCCUUGCGUCCCUCCCCCUCCGGGGCGCAUCGCCCCUUGCGUGCAAAGCCCCGGCACCGCCACGAGUCUCGCCUCGCCCUGCACAGGUAAACAGCCGCUGGCCGCCGGCCGGCCGCCCUGCAGGGCAGCCCGGGGACCUGCCCCCGGCGCCACGCCCGGCGCCCCGGGGAGGCCCAGCCCGCAGGCCCCGCCGACUGGGCGCCGCGCCCUGGGAACGUGCACCGGGGCAGGCAGCCCGGCCUCACCUGGCCCCAGCGCGGAGCCGGAUCACACCUGCCUGCUGGGUGAGCCGAGGGCAUUCGCGGAAGGGAAGAGACAAGACCUGGGAAGGGACGCCUGUGGCUUAGAAAGACCCUCAGGCAGGGCCGGGCGUGGGGCGCGCUGAUAAAAAUUCCUGGAGCUGUAUUAUUCACAUCGCAGAUUUGUCCCUUUGCCUCAAUCUAAAAGGAAUGGGAAAGAACAGCCGCUGGGCUCUCAUUUGCUUCCAGCUUACACAGAUUCAACUAUCAAUUAUCCCAGAGGAGAGGCGUGCAGUGCAGGGCGUUGGGCCACGAAACUGAAAGCUGCUGGCGAGGCGCGUGGGGGAGGUCGAUUUCUGCGUCCUGCUGCCUCCACGCACAGUGAGAACCCACCCCGCCACUGCGUUCCUGUCCUCACAGGCACAUCAUUGCUUCAACUGAUUCAUGAGCAGAAGAGUCUUUGCUGGCAACACAUGAACUGUGAUGGAUUCAAUCACUUAGGCUUUCCAUUAUCAAUGCAGACCUGGCCCCUGGGUGCACAGGGUUAUCAGUGACCACCCCUGAAUGCCGCAACUGACCAGACUCCAGGGACACCAUGGACUACUUAGUUGCAGACUGAUGACUUUGGACCUCUUCCAUUAUGGAAAGGGCAGUGAUUUCUUUUCACUGAAACAGGCUCAUGUCUGACUUUGGAACUGACCUCUCUGCCUGUAGAUCAUCAUGGCAUGCUCUACAAAAUUGCUUCUGACAACGGAAUUCACUUUACAGUGAAAGAGGGAAAGCAGUGGGUGAUACCCUUGUCAAUGGAUCCUGUCACCCAGAAGCAGUCAUCUGUAUUCAGCUGUGACAUGAUUUAUUGAAGAUUUCAUUUCAGGACUGAGAGACGAUCAUACCUAAGGAGAUUGAAAUAUCGUCCUUUAAGAUGCUUGUUUGUUCUGAACUAGGGAACAUCACGUGGUGCCGUUUCUCCCACAGCCAGACUAAACAGGUCUGGAGGAAGGGGAAGUAGGCACGGUGCAACUUCCAUCUUACUUAAUGACUCUCACUCUCUUCAACUUUUUUUCCACCAAUUAGCGAUUUUAUUCCCAGGAAAGGAAGGUUGCACCAUUGAGGCAGCUGACCGUUGGGGUGGCUCCCUUUGGAAAGGGGAUAUAAAGUGUUUGUAUGAGUGAUGGUUCCAUUAAAGCAGACAUUUUUUAAAAAGGUGAAAUUUGGGGAAUUAGAGUGAAUAUAGAUGUUGAACAGAAAAAGAGUGAUAUAGCAAUAGUCUGGACAUGUGGGCUGGCCACCUGGAAUUUCACAUGCCAUUAGGUCAAAAAAGUGGGUUGACAAGGCUGGCUGCAGUGACUAGUCCUGGGAAAAUGCUGCUAUACCACGGGAGACAGGCCAGGGUGGAGGCUAUGAAUGAAACUCAAGUGGUUCUCUCAGGAGCCGCCUCCUCCUCCUCCUCCAGCGGUGGGAGUUAAGGGAAGACUGUUACCAUCAUGCAUAUGGGCAGGGCCUCCUUGGUCUCUGUGCCCUUAGGAAAGAGGAAUAGGGUCACGGCUAGUAGGUCACACCCCAGUCAUCUAAGGUACUGGCUGAAGACAGCAUGGACUUGGAAUGGAAACUGGAAGCGGGAAACCUAAACAUCAUCCAGGGUCUCUUCUCUAGGGCAGGAAAUGGGUGCUGUAGCUUCUACUUGUACUUCCUGUGUUGUGUGUAUCCUAUUUUAACUCAUUGCCUCUCUUUCCUCUCCCGUUAUUCGUUUUAUUGUAUAUGGGAUGAACGGUUAUGGUUAACUUUACACUUCAGCUCAAAGAUACAGAAUAAUGAGAUGGGCUUGUUAUCCCACGGAGGUGGGGUAUCCAUUACUCACAGACCUUGAGUACAGGAGUUGAAAGACAUUGGGGUAACCCCGUUGGAAAGGGAAUGAAAGAAGUUUUGAUUGUAUGAGGAAUAGCUACAUAUUUUAAGCAAGAGUUUUUUCUUUAAGUAAAACUAGAGGAAUUAGAGUAUAUGUUGAUAUUGAACAGCAAAAGAGUAAGGCUGUAAUGAACUUAAUAGACCCUUUUUUUUUUUUCUAUUUUGGCUCUGCACCAUAUGAACUCAUUCCCAAAUUUGGAAAAUCCACUAUUUUGCGAGUCUUGGGAAGGGGCAAGAUCAGCUAGUUCAUGGGCACAGGAUCUAAGCUCUGGCAGCUGGAUGUUCUGAUCUAGAACUUCGAAUGUGGAGCCAGG
rnacentral:lncRNA from 10 species